rnacentral:rRNA from 1 species
GCAAGUCGAGCGGAAACGAUGAUAACUUGCUAUCAGGCGUCGAGCGGCGGACGGGUGAGUAACGCGUAGGAAUCUGCCUAGUAGUGGGGGACAACAUGUGGAAACGCAUGCUAAUACCGCAUACGCCCUACGGGGGAAAGGAGGGGAUCUUCGGACCUUUCGCUAUUAGAUGAGCCUGCGUGAGAUUAGCUAGUUGGUGGGGUAAAGGCUCACCAAGGCGACGAUCUCUAGCUGGUCUGAGAGGAUGAUCAGCCACACUGGGACUGAGACACGGCCCAGACUCCUACGGGAGGCAGCAGUGGGGAAUAUUGGACAAUGGGGGGAACCCUGAUCCAGCCAUGCCGCGUGUGUGAAGAAGGCCUUAGGGUUGUAAAGCACUUUCAGGAGUGAGGAAGGGUGUGCCGUUAAUACCGGUAUAUUUUGACGUUAACUCCAGAAGAAGCACCGGCUAACUCUGUGCCAGCAGUCGCGGUAAUACAGAGGGUGCAAGCGUUAAUCGGAAUUACUGGGCGUAAAGCGCGCGUACGUGGUUUGUUAAGUCGGAUGUGAAAUCCC